AUGGAGGAAUAUCUCCUGCUCAUUCUAACAGUAGUAUCAGGUGCGCUGUCAGACAGCAUUGGCCCACAUGAAAAGGAAACUAAUGUGAUGAGUAGAGAAGGAGAGUCUAUGAGAUUGAGUUGCUCGUUUGAAUCAAGCAGCAACUAUGUUUUGCUUUACUGGUUCAGACAGAACCCUGAUGGAGAGCUGCAAUAUUUACUGUAUAAAGGUGCUCGAUCAUGGAGCUCUAAAGAAGAUCAUUCAGAAGGUCGUUUUCAGUCUAUUUCAGCAUAUUCCUCCACUGAACUCAAUACUGCUGAAGCAGCUCUGUCAGACUCAGCUCUCUAUUACUGUGCUGUGAAGAGCCGUCUGUACAGCCCAGUGCUACAAAGAGCUGAGACGCUUUACAAAAACUCACACCCAAAACUCUUGCUUUGA